UUGAGACAGAAGGGGCUAAUGCCUCUGCAGAAUUUAUUUAUUCUUAAUGUCUACCAGAUUGUUAAUCCAGCCUGUCACUUGUGUAACUUCUGUUAUAACUUCCAUUCCGGGAGGCUGUUUCUCUUUUUCUUUCUUUCCUAGGAGAUGCUGCUUCCCAGUGUGUCCUAUGUUUCACCUCGUGGUUGAUUCCCAAGCAUUGUCCUGCAGGGAGUUCCCCUCUCCAUUUGCAGGUCCACCCCCACAGAAAAUUACCCCUAAUUUCAGCCAAAAUCAUUCUUCACUUCCUUUCCUGGCUUCUCUUGGAUGAUGGGUGAUGAGAAGACACAGGUAACAGACGUGG